rfam:Serratia sp. ATCC 39006 ctg3, whole genome shotgun sequence.
CAUGAAUCAAAAGUUGUUCUUCUUCGUAUUUUUUUUCAUUCUACCCGGCUGGGGGCAAUUGUCGUGUGAGUGAGAAUACGAAGACGAACAAAAAAGCCUCCUGAACUUAGGGGGCUUUUUUAUA